rnacentral:misc_RNA from 1 species
AACUGAUACUACCUGCGGGAACCUGCGGAGGGAUCAUUACCGAGUUUACAACUCCCAAACCCAAUGUGAACGUUACCAAACUGUUGCCUCGGCGGGAUCUCUGCCCCGGGUGCGUCGCAGCCCCGGACCAAGGCGCCCGCCGGAGGACCAACCAAAACUCUUUUGUAUACCCCCUCGCGGGUUUUUUUAUAUCUGAGCCAUCUCGGCGCCUCUCGUAGGCGUUUCGAAAAUGAAUCAAAA